rnacentral:lncRNA from 1 species
UGCCUAUUCACUUUUUACCAAUUUGGUCAUCAUUGGGCCAUUGCCUUCCACAGAAACUGGGAUUCAAACCCAAGGCCUUGUGCAUGUUAGGCAAGUGCUCUUAGCACUGAGCUAUACCCUCGGCCCUCAUUUUUCUGAAUCAAGAAAAGCAUAUUCUCUGUGAAGAUUAUGAAGUUGAUGACUCUGAAAUGAUUCAGGAAAAAUAUAGGUGUGGGAGCAUGUUGUAUUUAUGUCAUCUGUAUGUGCACACACAUGUGCAUACAUGUACACAUACUUACAGAUGCACAGUCGAUAAGCAAUGUGUUAGGUGCUUAAUGUCUGGAUUAGCAUCAUGAGAUGAAUAUGUGGAUUUUGCACACCAUUUCUGUAAAUUUUUUGUCAAAAUGAAAAGCUGAAAAGUAUA